rnacentral:lncRNA from 10 species
AAAGUGCUGGGAUUCCAGGUGUGAGCCACCAUGCCCAGCCCACCAUCCUUAUACAUAACAUCGUGUGAGCUACCGCUGAGCAUUUUGUUAGGAUGAAUACUUAGUAACUGAAGGGUCAAUGAGUAUAAAUAUUGUAAAAGGCAUCUGCUAUACAGUGGCAAACUAUUCUCAAGGAAAGUUGAUCCGUGUGCAUCUACCUGUGUGAAGCCUGUUCCUUGUACCCUCAUGAAUACUCCUGUAUCCCAGACUGGGCAACAUAGUGACACCUCAUCUCUAUAAAAAUAAAAAAAAAAUUAUCCAGGUAUGGUGUUGUGCGCCUGUCAUCCCAGCUUCUCGGGAGGCUGAGGCAGGAAGAUUGCUUGAGCCUGGGAGGCUGAGGCUGCAGUGAGCUGUGAUCACACCACUGCACUCCAGCUUGGGUGACAGGCAAAGACCCUGUCUCAAUAAUAAUAAUAAAAUUAUUCCAUUCAGAAAUAGUCUUCAUCAACUUGAGAUGAAAAAUUUUAAAAAUUUUACCUCAUUCUUUGAAUGUGCAUUUCACUGAUUACUGGUAAGGCCAGAUACUUUUCCGUGUGUGUUAACAUUGUAUUUUUUUAUGUUGUGAGUUUUCUUUCACAUCUUGUCUUUUGGUAUGUCUAUCAUUUUCUCUUUGCUUUGAAAAUGUGCUUUAUAGCUCGCUUCCUGCAAAUACCCUCAAUUUGCAGUUUGGUGUUAUGUAGGGAGGGGAGUGUUUAACAUAGCUUUUAUCCAUUUCUUUUCUAUUCCCCUCGGUGGGGAGUAUUUCUCUUUCUGCCCUUCUUAUGUGAGUUUAACAAGGGGAUAGAGAAAACAUUUGUGAAGCUGUGCCGGAAUCAUCAAUAUUCCUUCUCUAUAACUUUGAGAAGGAAUAUGUAACAAUAUUCCUUCUCAAAAACCUCAAUGUUUUUUGAAUUCUUAUGCUUCUAUUAUUUGCUCGUGAUAACAAGAAAGGCAGGUAAAGCAGCUAUGAUCCCAUUACAUAGAUGGUAAAAUAAAGAUUGAGAAAAAUGGCUUGCACUAGAUAAUUCAGGGGUGGAGAAGGGACAAGGAUCCCUGUCUUUUAACCUCCCCCAGCCCCAAGUUUUUCUUCUUGGUGAUAGUGUGGGGCAACAAACCAGGUCACUUCAAUUUGUCUCAAACAAAUGCAAAGAAUGCAAUACUGCUCAAGCUUCCCGGCUUUAAAUAUGUUGCAGACUUCCUCUGUCACCUCCUAGAUAUCUUACGAGUACCCUGUGCCCAAACCUUCUCAGAAGUUAAUAUUUUGUUAACUUUUCUUUGGUUCAUGGAAUGACUAAGUUUUGGACUAUUUCUUGAGGAAUGGGAGACUUAUAAAACUAGCAUUUCCUGUCUCACAGAAUGUCUAGGCUUUUAUUUGUUAAACACUAGGCAUUUGACAGACUGAGAUUUCUAUCAGUCCCAAGGAAAUGGUGUUCACCAGAACAGGGAAGGAAUUCACAGUCCUCUAAGUGGAAACACAUGCCAGACUUCGGAGUGAGAGGCGGGAUGCCUGCAGGAUGACAGCAGCAGUGGAGCAGACACAUUCACAUGUCACUCACUGGGUUUUCUCCCUAAAAGGAAAUCACUGGAGAGGAUCUCCUCUGUUUAGCCUCUGCAGGCCAAAAAAGAAAAUGUGUGUGCUCUACAGUAUCUGAGUUCUCUCUCUGGUGAGUCAAAGAACCCAACCACCAUUAGCUGCUUUUUUUUUUUUUUUUUUUUUUUUGAGAUGGAGUCUUGCUCUGUUGCCCAGGCUGGAGUGCAGUGGCAUGAUCUCAGCUCACUGCAGCCUCCACCUCUUGGGUUCAAGCAAUUCUCCUGCCUCAGCCUCCCAAGUAGCUGGGAUUACAAGUGCCCGCCACCACGCCUGGCUAAUUUUUGUGUUUUUGGUAGAGUUGGGGUUUCACCAUGUUGGCCAGGCUGGUCUCGACCUCCUGACCUGAGGUGAUCCGCCUGCCUCGGCCUUCCAAAGUGCUGGGAUUACAGGUGUGAGCCACCGCGCCCGGCCCCAUGAUUAGCUUUUAAUCACCAUUUUCAGAAGGAG